GCCAGGGGAGCUGCCAGGAGGGGCAGGCACUGGAAAAUAAUCUGGCCGUGGGGCUGCGGAAAGGCUGGAGAACAAUGCAGCUACCCAGCGACUGCGUGGUCACGGAAUUAUCCGGCUGUGCUGUUCCAGAAGACCUCCACGGCCUUCCCCAACGGUUCCUAGCAGCGGUCCACCCCGACCGCACAGACGCGGCCCAGCAGGGUCCAGCUCGCCUGGCCCGACACCUGGCUCCCAGCAUCCGCCCUUCUGCAGUGUCCUCUCUCUGCCCGAGGACUCAUGGCCAUUGUACGUGUUGGUGGCUGACCCCUUUCUUCCCACCCUCCACACAGACGAGUCCACGCUUAACAGCAAGCGCUUCCCACUUUGGUUUUCUCUCCUCUCUUUUAAGUGAAAACAGGCGUUUCAGUUUGUGACUGGCAAGACAGGGUGGAGACGACAGAAGUUGGUGCCGUGCCAACAACCAUGUUCCUAAACCGUCACAGCUUUGGGAGAGCCAUCGACAUUUUGUUUUUUUCAAUUAAGGUUAAGAAGCGAGUACACUGCUUUAAAACGUCAAUAACAUGUGUUGCAACUCAUUCACGGGUAUCGAACGUGACACCCCAGCAGCAGUCCCCACACACACACUCAUCCCAAGACUCUGAAAGCCCUUCUCCGCCCAGAACACCUCACCCACGCCAAAGACCUGUGCACCCCGACGGCACUGAAUUUUGAGGUGUCUAUGAACACACCACGGGGUCCUGAGCCCUGGGCCUGAAGACCCUGAGGAAAGGGAAGGAGGGGAACACACCCCACCUCCUGGGGUCCAGCUGGUCCCACCCAACAUUGUUUCAGAGCCAUGCAAGCUCCAAGCUCCGAGGUGCAGCGGCCAUCACCCCAUCGGCAUGUGAGCACGUCUUUGUCCAGGGAUUGUGGGAACCACAGAUGGCUAAGACACGAGCCCUGCUGUCAGAGGCUUCUCGUUCACCAGGGAAGCACCCACAUACUACUAGUGCUGGUGAAAAACCAGGUAAGAACCAAAGAAGUGUGGCAAGAUGUCACAGGGCGGGGAAAGCCAUCUCCUCUGAGCUAAGCCUUGAGUCAUGGCGCAAGUCUCCCAGCCUCAGUUCUGGAAACACGACUUGAAUCAAUAUAAAUUAACACUCCACCGUAAUACCUAAUACCAUGUGACAAUUACUGGUUUUCAGGUGCGGUUCCAUUCAGACCGUUCGCUGAGCAGGAGCUGUGAUAUAUCUGCGCCCUGAACACCGGACAUGGAGUCUAGCCUGAGGAGGCGCCCAGAAUUUGUGACUUGUUAUCUGAUUACAUCAACAUAUAAACACGCUGUGGGAUUCAAGGACUCCCUGACUUCCUAACUCACAAGAAAAUACAUUACAGAUACAGAUUUUUUUAUCAUCUCCCAGCUUGUUUACCAAGGUCAGCGGGAAAGAGACCCAGGAAAAAGGUGAGGCCGAAGGAAGACUGCAUAAUUCUAUUUUCCGGGUGAAUAUUUUUAGUCAAGACUUUAUGCUUAGCAAAGUAGUGCUCAAAUUCACCCAGUGCUUGGAAGACAUGGAAAAGAAAAUGCAAAAGGUUCUGAUGACGCUUCUCCUAAAGCCUUGAUAUUCCGAGUGCGGUCGGGGACCAGUGGCCAGCACCCCUGGGAGCCUGGGGGCCUGGAAGCCUGCGGACUCUGAGCCCACCCAGACCUGAAGGCUGACAGGUGAUGUGAAGGAACGCUGAAGUUUGGAUAGCUCUGCUUUAAAAAGCCUCCACUUACAGGUUUGCCACUUUAUCUUUACAAAAGAAGAAAGAAGCCGUGGGGAACGCAGACAUUUGCGUCCACCCCCAAAUGUCACACCCGUGGUCAUUUAGAAGGCCGAUGGUGCAGACCACCUUCCAGCAGCGGCUGGAAUCAUCAGGAAGAGGACUCAGUGGCCAAGGUCCUGGAAGGCACCUUUAACCUGAUAUCAAGGCUCUCCCAGCUCGGAAAGACACAUCACAGGGUCAAUCGAUAACGUGCAACCCAACAAACCCUCUGAUGCAACAGCCACAGGUCAUGACCAGAGAGGGCGGGAAAGGUCAUAUCUGCUGGACAGGCACAGGUGCCACCCUCCAGCUUCUCUCAGGAGCAUCAGUGCCUCCAAAGCAGUCACAUUGAUGGAGUCCAUCUACACGGUAGCGUUAGAGGAAGCUUUUAUUUCUACAGCUAAGUUUUACUUUGAGAGAAGACGGAGUGGGCGGGAGCUGCAGUGGGCGGGGGAGAAGGCAAGAGGAUAAGAGGGUAACGAGCUUUCCCCAGGGCCCCUCAGCCUCCCCACAUUCUUCGAGCCUCCUCCCUGGGUGCAGGACCGGUCUGAAGCAGAGGUGAGCUCUGAGGCUGCCAGGUGAACUCGCUGGCCCCAAGUGCACCCAGGUCACAUGAUGAGCGACUGAGGUAGAACCAGCACGCAGAGCCUCUGAUUCACAGGCUGAACUGCCCGACACCGCACUGCUUUCAAAAUUAGACGCACACACGCUUCCUGAGUGACGGACACAUAGCAUGUUCUAGAAUCUCAUGUCUGAAACGUAUUAAUAAUAACGUUUACAGCUUUUCGAGAAAAUGCUAUGAAAAUAGGAAUAUUUUUAAAAACUAACAAAGAAGCUAUAAGACAAUAUCCGCUACCCAAAGGAGCAUGGAGAGCUUAGGAGCAGAGGAUUACCGAAUAAUUAUGCAAAGUGCCCCACGCGAGAACACACCCGAGUGGAUGUCUCAGGCAGCAGUUCUCACAGCGUGACCCCAGGCGAGCACGUCAGCACCUUCUGGAACUUUUCAGAAAUGAUGGGAUAGACAAGGGGUGGGGCGCAGCCACCUGCUUGGUCACAAGCCCCCCCACCCCCGCCUCCAGCCCAGGGUUUUCUGAUGCAGGCUCAAGUUUGAGAACCUGUGGCCUGACACAAUGAGGUUCCCAGGUCCUGUGUGUGGUGGGCCUAAGAUAAGCGCUGCUCCUGCAGGAACCUAGCCACACAGCCAUGGUUUAAUGAUACCGUCUUCACUGUCAUUUACCAUCAACCAUUUCACCCCCACGAACACCACAAGCUUCUCCUAGGUUAACAGCAUUCUUCCUCAGGUCGACGAUUGAAGCGUGAGUAACAAAAUCAAGCUGAGAUAAUUUUCCAUAAACGUGAUCUAUUGCCAUCGGUAUUAUGUACUGAAAAAAAAAAUGACACAUGUGACAGUUAUGAAAGGUUGCCUCGCUCUACACCAAGAGUUGAAAAUUAAGGCUAAAAUGAAAAACAAAAAACACUUGGAAAAUUCUCAGUGUUCCCAAGUAAACGGGGAGUGGGUUCCUGUAGCCGGCUUGCAGUGCAGCCCUGGGUCUGCAGGAGAUACCACCUGGGGGCCUGUGAGGAAUGCAGAGUCCAGGGCCCCCGCCCAGGCCAGGCACCAGGCUGCGUGUUAACAGAAUGCCCGGGAAUUGUGCUCACACUGAAGCCUGAGAAGCGGUGCAUUCGACGGGACCUGAAAAAUACUGGGUGAAGGUGGGUUUCCUCCUCUUUUGCCUUUUUUAUGCAAGGGAGAGCCAACUGCUGUCAAGCAAGACAGAGCAACUAUUCAGCGUUUUCUGUGAGUAUGGCAUUGGAGAAGGCAUUCUUUCGGAAACGGGAAUUUAUUUCUUCCUUCCUAAAUAGACUGAUUUAAAUUAACCUCCCUGGCGGUCUGAUUAUGUCAGUAAUUUUGU